AACAAACGCUGGCGGCGUGCCUAACACAUGCAAGUCGUACGAGAAAGGGUCCUUCGGGGCCUGAGUAAAGUGGCGCACGGGUGAGUAACGCGUGGAUAAUCUACCCUUCAGUUGGGAACAACUCAUCGAAAGGUGGGCUAAUACCGAAUAACACUGCGAGACUUUGGUCGAGCAGUCAAAGAGAGCCUCUGCUUGCAAGCCCUCGCUGAAGGAUGAGUCCGCGUACCAUUAGCUUGUUGGUAGGGUAAUGGCCUACCAAGGCGACGAUGGUUAGCUGGUCUGAGAGGAUGAUCAGCCACACUGGAACUGAGACACGGUCCAGACUCCUACGGGAGGCAGCAGUGAGGAAUCUUGCGCAAUGGGGGAAACCCUGACGCAGCAACGCCGCGUGAGUGAGGAAGGUCUUCGGAUCGUAAAGCUCUGUCAGUUGGGAAGAAAUGUCUGGGAGUUAAUACCUUCCAGGUUUGACGGUACCAACAGAGGAAGCACCGGCUAACUCCGUGCCAGCAGCCGCGGUAAUACGGGGGGUGCAAGCGUUGUUCGGAAUUAUUGGGCGUAAAGAGCGUGUAGGCGGCCUGAUGUGUCAGAUGUGAAAGCCCUGGGCUUAACCCAGGAAGUGCAUUUGAAACUGUCAGGCUUGAGUAUGGGAGAGG
rnacentral:rRNA from 1 species